rnacentral:misc_RNA from 1 species
UACGGAGGGUGAAAGCGUUAAUCGGAAUUACUGGGCGUAAAGUGCGCGUAGGCGGUUUGAUAAGCAGGAUGUGAAAGCCCCGGGCUUAACGUGGGAAUGGCAUUCUGGACUGUCUGACUGGAGUAUGGUAGAGGGUAGUGGAAUUUCCGGUGUAGCGGUGAAAUGCGUAGAUAUCGGAAGGAACACCAGUGGCGAAGGCGACUACCUGGACCAAUACUGACGCUGAGGUGCGAAAGCGUGGGGAGCAAACAGG